CAGUAGCCGCGGUAAUACGAAGGGUGCAAGCGUUACUCGGAAUUACUGGGCGUAAAGCGUGCGUAGGUGGUGGUUUAAGUCCGUUGUGGAAGCCCUGGGCUCAACCUGGGAAUUGCAGUGGAUACUGGGUCACUAGAGUGUGGUAGAGGAUAGUGGAAUUUCCGGUGUAGCAGUGAAAUGCGUAGAGAUCGGAAGGAACAUCUGUGGCGAAGGCGACUAUCUGGGCCAACACUGACACUGAGGCACGAAAGCGUGGGGAGCAAACAGGAUUAGAUACCCCUGUAGUCCCUGUCUCUUAUAC
rnacentral:rRNA from 1 species